rnacentral:rRNA from 1 species
AGUCACUGACAUUAGACUACCCCGUACGUCCCGGGUGUAAACGCUGCAGACUUGGUGUUGGAGCCCUUUGGGGGCAUUCAGUGCCGGAGAGAAGUUGUUAAGUCUGCUACUUGGGGAGUACGUCCGCAAGGAUGAAACUUAAAGGAAUUGGCGGGGGAGCACCGCAACGGGAGGAGCGUGCGGUUUAAUUGGAUUCAACACCGUAAAACUCACCAGGGAAGACUGUUACAUGAAGGCCGAGAUGAAGACUCUGCUAGAUUUUCAG